AUCGAACGCUGGCGGCAGGCUUAACACAUGCAAGUCGAGCGGGCACUUUCGGGUGUCUGCGGCGGACGGGUGAGUAACGCGUGGGAACGUGCCCUCAGGUUCGGAAUAACUCAGGGAAACUUGAGCUAAUACCGGAUACGCCCUCUUGGGUAAAGGCGUGCUGACGGAGGAUCGGUCCGCGUCUGAUUAGCUAGUUGGUGAGGUAACGGCUCACCAAGGCGACGAGCAGUAGCCGGUCUGAGAGGAUGAUCAGCGACACUGAGACUGGGACACAGCCGAGACUCUUACGGGAGGGAGCAGUGGGGGAUCUUGGACAGCGGGCGGAAGCCUGAUCCACCCAUGACGCGUGAGUGAUGAAGGCCUUAGGGUUGUAAAGCUCUUUUAUCCGGGACGAUAAUGACGGUACCGGAAGAAUAAGCCCCGGCUAACUUCGUG
rnacentral:rRNA from 1 species